rnacentral:rRNA from 1 species
UACGGGGGGAGCAAGCGUUGUUCGGAUUUACUGGGCGUAAAGGGCGCGUAGGCGGCGUGACAAGUCACUUGUGAAAUCUCCGGGCUUAACUCGGAACGGUCAAGUGAUACUGUCGUGCUAGAGUACAGAAGGGGCAACUGGAAUUCUCGGUGUAGCGGUGAAAUGCGUAGAUAUCGAGAGGAACACCUGCGGCGAAGGCGGGUUGCUGGGCUGACACUGACGCUGAGGCGCGAAAGCUAGGGGAGCAAACGGG